CCUCUACUGAACUACAAUAAGAUUUCAGCAUUCAAUCUUUCUUCUUUUCAAAUAAUACCAAUCACAUUUCCAUGCCAUAAUUUACUUCACAAUAUUCAAAAACUCUCAAUCCUCUUAUUCAAAGAAAAUAACAAACAAAAGAAAAGAAGUAGCACCAAGCUUACCCCGGCUCACAACUAUCACAAUCUCGCAUCUUAAUUAACUUCUACAACUCCUAUAUACUUUCUCUUGAUUCUCCAGAUUUUAACCGUAAUUUUGUAAUUAAUCCCUUUUAAGAACUAAAUCACUCAUCCGUCCUCCUGAAUUUUCUAUUAUAUGGACUAUUAAUAUAUUUUAUCAAUAUCUCCUAAAAAUGAAUUAAUAUCUAUUGUAUAUAGCCGCACUCCUAUUUGUAGAGCGUCCUCGCAAAUACUCAAUUGAUACCUAUCUAAAAACUAAACAAAUUUCCACAAAGUUACUAGUUCCUCUGGCCCACCUAAUUAAUUAUUUGCUGCAUUAUUGAAUGUAGGUUCAACCAAAUCUGGUUCCAAUUGCAAAUCUUCUUCUUCUUCCUCUAGUCCAUCGACUCCUUCCUCAACUGGUUUGAGAGAUCUUCAUUAUACUCACCCAGUACAUGGACUUGAGCUUCCAGUUUCAAGAUCUGGACAUCUCGAAGUUCCAAUUGUUAUUGCUACUGACUCAUCUAUUUUGGAAUAUCUUCAAU
rnacentral:lncRNA from 1 species